UGUCGUGUUGGUUGUUUGUAAAACAACCCGGAGUGUCUGAAUCGACUCAUCACUCGUAUGUAAUCUCUAAAACUUGAAGAUUGCGGUUGUGAUCCAUUGAGAGCUGGUAAACCUUCCUGUUUUGAGCAAGUUAUCAUUGCAUCUACCUCCUCAGAUAAUCCGUUACUCGACGGUCAGGUUUUUUUUCCCGCCUUUGCUGUUGCAUUGACUCACUUGAUGACGGAAGAUGGCGAUCUACCCACCCACCAUCUGGUGGUAGGGAAACGGAACUACACUUUCCCUACAGAAACGAACUAAAAACUCUGAGUAUUGAAAAGGGAACAUAAUUAUUCUCUUUUUGUUCUUGGAUCUAUUGUGGACUCUAUUACGUUUGAAGUAUCACUGAUUAUUAUUAUAAUUGUUUUUGUUGGUUUGU